rnacentral:tRNA from 1 species
AGGGGUGUAGCUCAACCGGAAGAGCGGCCGGAUUCCACUCCGGCAAGAUGCCGCGUUCGAGACCGGCCACCCCUGCCA